GCAGUCGUACGGUGAAGCCAAGCUUGCUUGGUGGAUCAGUGGCGAACGGGUGAGUAACACGUGAGCAACCUGCCCUGGACUCUGGGAUAAGCGCUGGAAACGGCGUCUAAUACUGGAUAUGAGACGUGAUCGCAUGGUCGUGUUUGGAAAGAUUUUUCGGUCUGGGAUGGGCUCGCGGCCUAUCAGCUUGUUGGUGAGGUAAUGGCUCACCAAGGCGUCGACGGGUAGCCGGCCUGAGAGGGUGACCGGCCACACUGGGACUGAGACACGGCCCAGACUCCUACGGGAGGCAGCAGUGGGGAAUAUUGCACAAUGGGCGGAAGCCUGAUGCAGCAACGCCGCGUGAGGGAUGACGGCCUUCGGGUUGUAAACCUCUUUUAGCAGGGAAGAAGCGAAAGUGACGGUACCUGCAGAAAAAGCGCCGGCUAACUACGUGCCAGCAGCCGCGGUAAUACGUAGGGCGCAAGCGUUAUCCGGAAUUAUUGGGCGUAAAGAGCUCGUAGGCGGUUUGUCGCGUCUGCUGUGAAAUCCCGAGGCUCAACCUCGGGCCUGCAGUGGGUACGGGCAGACUAGAGUGCGGUAGGGGGAGAUUGGAAUUCCUGGUGUAGCGGUGGAAUGCGCAGAUAUCAGGAGGAACACCGAUGGCGAAGGCAGAUCUCUGGGCCGUAACUGACGCUGAGGAGCGAAAGGGUGGGGAGCAAACAGGCUUAGAUACCCUGGUAGUCCACCCCGUAAACGUUGGGAACUAGUUGUGGGGACCAUUCCACGGUUUCCGUGACGCAGCUAACGCAUUAAGUUCCCCGCCUGGGGAGUACGGCCGCAAGGCUAAAACUCAAAGGAAUUGACGGGGACCCGCACAAGCGGCGGAGCAUGCGGAUUAAUUCGAUGCAACGCGAAGAACCUUACCAAGGCUUGACAUAUACGAGAACGGGCCAGAAAUGGUCAACUCUCUGGACACUCGUAAACAGGUGGUGCAUGGUUGUCGUCAGCUCGUGUCGUGAGAUGUUGGGUUAAGUCCCGCAACGAGCGCAACCCUCGUUCUAUGUUGCCAGCACGUAAUGGUGGGAACUCAUGGGAUACUGCCGGGGUCAACUCGGAGGAAGGUGGGGAUGACGUCAAAUCAUCAUGCCCCUUAUGUCUUGGGCUUCACGCAUGCUACAAUGGCCGGUACAAAGGGCUGCAAUACCGUGAGGUGGAGCGAAUCCCAAAAAGCCGGUCCCAGUUCGGAUUGAGGUCUGCAACUCGACCUCAUGAAGUCGGAGUCGCUAGUAAUCGCAGAUCAGCAACGCUGCGGUGAAUACGUUCCCGGGUCUUGUACACACCGCCCGUCAAGUCAUGAAAGUCGGUAACACCUGAAGCCGGUUGCCCAACCCUUGUGGAGGGAGC
rnacentral:rRNA from 1 species